rnacentral:rRNA from 1 species
AGAGGGUGCAAGCGUUAAUCGGAAUUACUGGGCGUAAAGCGAGCGUAGGUGGCUUGAUAAGUCAGAUGUGAAAUCCCCGGGCUUAACCUGGGAACUGCAUCUGAUACUGUUAGGCUAGAGUAGGUGAGAGGGAGGUAGAAUUUCAGGUGUAGCGGUGAAAUGCGUAGAGAUCUGAAGGAAUACCGAUGGCGAAGGCAGCCUCCUGGCAUCAUACUGACACUGAGGUUCGAAAGCGUGGGUAGCAAACAGGAUUAGAUACCCUGGUAGUCCACGCCGUAAACGAUGUCUACUAGUCGUUGGGGAACUUGAUUCCUUAGUGACGCAGCUAGCGCAAUAAGUAGACCGCCUGGGGAGUACGGCCGCAAGGUUA